rnacentral:rRNA from 1 species
GACGGGGGCCCGCACAAGCGGAGGAACAUGUGGUUUAAUUCGAUGAUACGCGAGGAACCUUACCCGGGCUUGAACUGCAGGCGAACGAUACAGAGAUGUUGAGGCCCUUCGGGGCGCCUGUGGAGGUGCUGCAUGGUUGUCGUCAGCUCGUGCCGUGAGGUGUCGGCUUAAGUGCCAUAACGAGCGCAACCCUUUUCAUUAGUUGCCAUCAGGUAAUGCUGGGCACUCUGGUGAUACUGCCACCGUAAGGUGUGAGGAAGGUGGGGAUGACGUCAAAUCAGCACGGCCCUUACGUCCGGGGCUACACACGUGUUACAAUGGGAGGUACAGAGAGUCGGAUGUACGCAAGUACAUUCUAAUCCUAAAAGCCUUCCUCAGUUCGGAUUGGGGUCUGCAACCCUGACCCCAUGAAGCUGGAUUCGCUAGUAAUCGCGCAUCAGCCAUGGCGCGGUGAAUACGUUCCCGGGCCUUGUACACACCGCCCGUCAAGCCAUGAAAGCCGGGGGCGCUUGAAGAACGUGACCGCAAGGAUCGGCCUAGAGCGAAACGGUAAUGGGGUAAAUCGAACAAGUUUCCGAAAG